rnacentral:rRNA from 1 species
AGAUAAAUAGUUAGCUUAGAAAAGAUUGUUUAGGAAUUGUGGCAUUUAUUAGAAUGAAUAAAAUUUAAGCUAUAUGUGGAGUACAGUGAAGGAAAAUUGAAAAUGAUGUUAUUUUGGAGAAGGGGGAAGAUUGUACCUUUUGUAUAAGGGUUGAAUUAUAUUAAUAAUUAAGAAUUUAAUUCCCGAAGAUCUUUGAGCUAUAUUAAUUAUUUAUUAUGGGCGUUGUAUAUCUUGAAGGGAGUUAAUUAUAGUGAUGAAAUUUUAGUCAAAAAGAUAGAUAUCUGGUUAAAAUAUUAACAAUUAUAUAUUGAUCUAUAAUUAUUUUUUUAUUUUAAAAUUUUAUAGAUGUUAUUUAUAGGGAUAAGCUUGUAAAUUUCUUAUAAAAUUAUAUCUGGAAAGAAGGGGGUUUAAAAUUUACUAAAUUUGUAAUAAAAUAUUGAAUGUUGGAAGAUAUAUAUUAUGUUUGUGUUUUGUUUUAUUGAAUAGAAAUUUAUUGGCGUUUAUAUUAGAAUUAGUAUAAAAAGGGGAAUUUAGUAGUUUGAGACUAUAUUUAAAAAGUAAUAAAUAAGAUAAGAACUCGGCAAUUUUAGUUAUUGACUGUUUAACAAAAACAUUGUAUUUUGAUAGGAUAGAAUAUAUAACCUGCUCAAUGACAAGUUUAAUUGCUGUGGUAUUUUGACUAUACAAAGGUAUUGUAAUAAGGCUUUUAAUGGGCUCUAAAAGAAUGGUUUAACAAUGACUAUCUUUUUUACUUAUUAUAUUAGAAGUUGGUAUGAAAAUGAAAAAAUUUUCAUGAGUUUUUGGGACAAGAAGACCCUAUGAAUUUUUUUGAAAUUUUUUUUGAGAAGUUCUUAAGAAAUUUAGUUAAAGGAUAUUUCUGUUGAUUGGGGUGAUUCUUAAAGCUUGUGAAUCUUUAGGUAUAACAAUAAGAUCCAUUAUUAAUGAUUAAAUGAGAUAAAUACUCUAGGGGUAACAGCGUUAUUAUUUUGGAUAGUUCAUAUAGAUAAAAUAGUUUGCGACCUCGAUGUUGGAUUAAGAUUCUUUUGUAAUGCAGGAGUUACAAGAAGAAGUUUGCUCAACUUUUGAAAUCUUACAUGAUCUGAGUUCAGACCGACGUAAGUCAGGUUGGUUUCUAUCUAGAUAGAUAUAAAUAAUCUUUAUAGUACGAAAGGAAUAAGAGAUUAGAAUUAUUUUAAUAAAGAAAGUGUAGAAAAUACUAUAG